rnacentral:rRNA from 1 species
GAUGAACGCUGGCGGCGUGCCUAAUACAUGCAAGUCGAGCGAACAGACGAGGAGCUUGCUCCUCUGACGUUAGCGGCGGACGGGUGAGUAACACGUGGAUAACCUACCUAUAAGACUGGGAUAACUUCGGGAAACCGGAGCUAAUACCGGAUAAUAUAUUGAACCGCAUGGUUCAAUAGUGAAAGACGGUUUUGCUGUCACUUAUAGAUGGAUCCGCGCCGCAUUAGCUAGUUGGUAAGGUAACGGCUUACCAAGGCAACGAUGCGUAGCUGACCUGAGAGGCUGAUCAGCCACACUGGAAGUGAGACACGGUCCAGACUCCUACGGGAGGCAGCAGUGGGGAAUAGUGGACAAUGGGCGCAAGCCUGAUCCAGCCAUACCGCGUGGGUGAAGAAGGCCUUCGGGUUGUAAAGCCCUUUUGUUGGGAAAGAAAAGCAGCAGGUUAAUACCCCGCUGUUCUGACGGUACCCAAAGAAUAAGCACCGGCUAACUUCGUG